rnacentral:tRNA from 3 species
CGGGGUGUGGCGGAAAUUGGGCAGAAGCACUAAAACUUAGGAUCCUAGCGGCCUUUUGGCGUGGGGGGUUCGACUCCCUUCACCCCGC